rnacentral:rRNA from 1 species
GUGAGGAAUAUUGGUCAAUGGGCGAGAGCCUGAACCAGCCAAGUCGCGUGAAGGAAGACGGCCCUACGGGUUGUAAACUUCUUUUGCAAUGGAAUAAAAAGAGUUACGUGUAAUUCAUUGUAUGUACAUUGCGAAUAAGGAUCGGCUAACUCCGUGCCAGCAGCCGCGGUAAUACGGAGGAUCCGAGCGUUAUCCGGAUUUAUUGGGUUUAAAGGGUGCGUAGGCAGAUUGGAAAGUCAGCGGUGAAAGUUUGCAGCUUAACUGUAAAAUUGCCAUUGAAGAUGUCAGUCUUGAGUGCAAAUGAGGUAGGCGGAAUGUGUUGUGUAGCGGUGAAAUGCAUAGAUAUAACACAGAACACCAAUUGCGAAGGCAGCUUACUGGGAUGCAACUGACGCUGAGGCACGAAAGCGUGGGGAUCAAACAGGAUUAGAUACCCGUGUAGUCC